rnacentral:rRNA from 1 species
AACGAACGCUGGCGGCAGGCCUAACACAUGCAAGUCGAGCGAAGCCUUCGGGCUUAGCGGCGGACGGGUGAGUAACGCGUGGGAACGUGCCCUUUGCUACGGAAUAGCCCCGGGAAAGUGGGAGUAAUACCGUAUGUGACCUUCGGGGGAAAGAUUUAUCGGCAAAGGUUCGGCCCGCGUUGGAUUAGGUAGUUGGUGGGGUAAUGGCCUACCAAGCCGACGAUCCAUAGCUGGUUUGAGAGGAUGAUCAGCCACACUGGGACUGAGACACGGCCCAGACUCCUACGGGAGGCAGCAGUGGGGAAUCUUAGACAAUGGGGGAAACCCUGAUCUAGCCAUGCCGCGUGAUCGAUGAAGGCCUUAGGGUUGUAAAGAUCUUUCAGUGGGGAAGAUAAUGACUGUACCCACAGAAGAAGCCCCGGCUAACUCCGUGCCAGCAGCCGCCGCAGUAA